CAUCCUUUAAAGAGUGCGUAAUAGCUCACUAGUCGAGUGGCACUGCGCCGAAGAUGUACCGGGGCUAAAGCAUAAUACCGAAACUGCGGAUUACUUUGUAAUGGUAGGGGAGCGUUCUAAGUGCGCUGAAGGUUGAUCGUAAGGACAGCUGGAGCGCUUAGAAGUGAGAAUGCCGGUAUGAGUAGCGCAAGACGUGUGAGAAUCACGUCCACCGUUUGCCCAAGGUUUCCUGGGUCAAGUUCGUCUUCCCAGGGUUAGUCGGGUCCUAAGGCGAGGCCGAAAGGCGUAGUCGAUGGACAACAGGUUGAUAUUCCUGUACCACCUAUAUGACUGAUGGAGUGACGAAGGAGGCUAACAAGUGCCUGUUAUUGGAUUCAGGUCUAAGCACAAAGGCUUAUAUGUAGGGAAAUCCGCAUAUUGGUAGGCUGAAGUGUGAUGGCGAAGAGAGUAGCAAUACAAUUGAAGACUUGUGACGCCAAACUUCCAAGAAAAGCUUCUAGGGUUAAUCGUAUAGGUGCCCGUACCGAGAACCGCCACAGGUGGGCAAGGAGAGUAUCCUAAGGUGAGCGAGAGAACUAUGGUUAAGGAACUCGGCAAAAUAACCCCGUAACUUAGGGAGAAGGGGUGGUCUAGCGAUAGACCCGCAGUAAAGACGUCCAGGCAACUGUUUACCAAAAACACAGGUCUCUGCAAAGCCGUAAGGCGAAGUAUAGGGGCUGACACCUGCCCAGUGCUGGAAGGUUAAUAGGAGAGGUUAGUAUUUGACUUUGUCAACAUGAUACGAAGCUUUGAAUUGAAGCCCCAGUGAACGGCGGCCGUAACUAUAACGGUCCUAAGGUAGCGAAAUUCCUUGUCAGGUAAGUUCUGACCCGCACGAAAGGUGUAAUGAUCUGGAUACUGUCUCAACCAUAGGCUCGGUGAAAUUUUAAUACCUGUGAAAAUGCAGGUUACCCGCGACAGGACGGAAAGACCCCAUGGAGCUUUACUGUAGCUUGAUAUUGAAAUUUGAUAUUCUUUGUAGAGGAUAGGUGGUAGACUUUGAUACUAGGACGCCAGUUCUAGUGGAGUCGCCCUUGGAAUACCACCCUUGGAAUAUUAGAUUUCUAACCUAGGACCGUAAUCCGGUUCGGGGACAGUGUCUG
rnacentral:rRNA from 1 species